UCGAGAUUGAAUUACUCCAGAAAAACAAAGACCGGUUACAAUAUAUAAUUAAACCAAGCGACUGAAACAAACAUAACAAAAACUGAACGAUCCUUAGCAAUAGAAGUCGAACGUAAGCCGAGUACAACAAAAACCGAACACUACAACCAAGAACAAAAAAAUGAACGCACAUGACCGAAUGGUCACAAGAGAACGUUCGGUCAGUACAAGCCGAGCGGUCGCAACAAGUCCAACCAAAAAUACCGAACGGUUAUCAACAUGAAACCGAACGGUCAAAAGUAAAAGUAAUAGAAGAGUCUAAUCAACAUGCACUAUAGAAACAUUGUACACGUUGAUCCAGAAUGCUAGUUUCUGUUUGUAAGGCUUUUCAAGUCAACUGUUUGAAGAUUGCUCAUCAAGAUCCUAUAUCAUCCAUGCCAUACCUUAACUUCCUUAGUAAUGGUAUGGACUUGAGAUAAACUUGGGAUCCAUAGAGCUGGAAGUGAAUAUAAGCAGGUUCUUGUAAGCACCAAUGUCCCUUGGAAUGGACUCUUUUGUCUUAAAGAUAACAUAAGGGUCUUGCUGCCUAGAUUCCUUUUGCAACAAGAGGCUUGGUUUUGGGUUUGUCAGGGUAUCCACCCUGAAGCUUCUUGAACUUAAAAAAGAGUGCACAAAGCUUGAAAUUGGCCCUGAUUUCUCCCAUUCCAUUGCUCUUGAAGUUCUGAGUAGUCUUACAUAUACGAAAUUCAACACUUCAUGAUGCUCUCAGAUUGAUUGUUGGGUUGCCACUUGAGAUCAUUCUCUUCUGACAGAAGUGGAUCCAGCAGUGAUCUAGUUCGGAGAUCCAAGUACAUCCCCGGAUUGCUUUAUAGUUCAUAGAGUAAAUGAUAUAUAAUGUUCAACGAUCAAUAUAUGGUCUGAGA
rnacentral:sRNA from 1 species